rnacentral:rRNA from 1 species
CAACAACGGAUCUCUUGGUUCUGCAUCGAUGAAGAACGCGGCGAAAUGUGAUACGUAAUGUGAAUUGCAGAAUUCAGUGAAUCAUCGAAUCUUUGAACGCACAUUGCGCCCGCCAGCUUUCUGGCGGGCAUGCCUGUUCGAGCGUCAUUU